rnacentral:lncRNA from 1 species
UCGCCACUUGGCAUAAAUCGGGCGUGCCAAGUCAUCCGUGGAUAUCCUUUUUCAAAAUAGUUUUGACUUUAUAAAACGGAUCCGUGAAUAGAGAUUCCGGUUAAGGAAUUUUGUUGACCGAGGGGAAGGUGUUAGGCACCCCUCGAUCCCGUGGUUUGACCACGGUCGCUUGGUAGAACAUAUCAGUUAAUUUGACACUAAGAAUGUAUAAACCACACAAAAUACAUAAACAAGCAUCCAAACACACGAAACAAAAUCAAUCCAAAGUAUAGUGUUCAGUCCAAUUAUACAGUCCAAAAUAAAUAAAAUGUGAAAAUAAAUGCUAUCUAACCUGCACUAAUCCUAACUAUGCGCCCGUGUUUUACGUGACACCUCGGGCCUUCAUCACGAACGUCUUUCACCAACAUAAUAUGUCGGGGCAUUCCCCAGUAAAUUAAGCAGUUGCCACUGAACCAACAUAAACCAAUAUUUACUUUUAAGAAUUUUCAAUCUUUUUCCCCAAAAUCCAACUUAACCCCAAAUCAACUAUGUAAUCACAUGCUUCGAUUAUUCAUUCACUUUUCAAAGUCCAAAACCAACAUCAACCAACACACACAAAUAUUCAAACAUACCAAACAACAAAUUAUUCACAUUCAUGUAAAAAUUAAAGGGAGAGAAGAGAGAAUUGGACCUCAAUGCCGCUUUUAAUAUAUCGAAUAUAGAACCGUGUCCAAAAAAACCUCAAUUCAAACAGAUUUAAAAUCAGUUGAAAAACCUUAAUACUAAUUCCAAAUCACGAAUUUUGAACCGACCGUAUGUGAAUCUCACCGGAGAUCGGAGUAGGGUUGUUGCUUCUGCCUCACCAGAGAUACGAUAGACUCGACAGUCACAAAAUGAUGUUUCCCCAACUAGACUUCACCAGAAAAACUAGAGAACAGAGGGGUUUAGGGAUUUAGGAUGGGUGCGAGUGACUAGGUUCAGCAAAAACUCCGAUUUCGGCGAAAGACUCGCUAAAAACCCCCAAAAGCAGUCGGCCUCCACAUUGUUUUCUCUCUCUUUCUCCUCCGAUUCACUAUUGCAUCUCUCCUGUAAACUAAAAAGGAAGGAGAGAAGAUGAAGAUCUGUGGCCUCCUCCCCUUUUCUUUCUCUGUGUGUAUAUGUGCUAAGAGUGUGUGGAAUUGUUGAUGGUGAGGGUCAGUCUGUGUGCGUUUUUUGCGUGCUCUGUUAAUGAAAAUGUGAGUCUGUUGUACUAUAUUCAAUUCCAAAAUGGAAAAAAUAGAGGUUGUGGGUUUUUGCGUAUACUCCCCUCUAUGAGGUUUUGUGAGGUGUCUUAUAUACCCAUGAAAAAAAAUGAAGGUUUUUU